UCUCUGUGGUGCAGCAAAUGCCACAUUCUUUUGCCAGUCUUUUAAGUUGCUCCAUUUCAUCAAAAGUUUAAUGCAGUCACCUUUCUUGCUGUUUCGUAGGGAGGCAUUGGGCCAGCAGGACCAAGUGGACCAUCAGGAAUUCCAGGGCCCAUGGGUCUCCCAGGGAGUGUGGGACAGCCUGGAAUGAAAGGUGAUAAGGGUGAACAUGGCCUUGCAGGAGAGCCGGGAGACCAGGGGUACCCAGGAGACAAGGUAAUUUAUAAUUGCAUUGUUUUACAAAAUUGUCCAAUUUCAGCAACUUCAUCAGGCUUCUGAGUCUCUUAAAAUGCAACAGGUCAGUUGCAUAAAAGUAGA
rnacentral:lncRNA from 1 species